UGGUGUUGAAAGUGAAAUUUUGGGAGGAGCCAUAUAGAGGACCAGAGCUCUGGAGGAGGACAAGUCAUUGCUGAGUACUCUCUCAAAGUAGCAGCAACACUCACAAACCGAAAGAGGUCAUGGCUGGAACAUGUCUUAUUCACUGUGUCCUGAUUCAAGUCCUGCUUAUCACAGUCUAUGCUCAAUUACCAACAAACUGUACAAAUCAAACUACCACUGAGGGAGAACCAGUACAUCUAACCUGCAAUGUUACAUGUAAAGAAUGUGAAAAACUCGAUUAUUUUUGGAAGCAUGGAAAAGAUAAAAUCGACUGCAGUAAAAUGCGUAACUUUCCUAGUGGCAACAGUCAUAUAUUUAAUUGCACAAUUGAUCAGGCAUCAGCGAAUCACAAUGGAACAUUUACAUUUUGGGGACAAAUGAAAGAAGGAAUUGGUGAAACAAAAUUCAACGUGACCAUAGUGCCGCGUGCUGCUAAUCCCACCACACCAGGGGAACCUCCUACAUUUUCUCCAUAUAAGGGUCGUUCACCUGAAGUUGCCUUGGCUGUAUUGCUCAUGAUUUGUCUUGCCUUAUGCAUCAUUGUUGCAGUUUUGUUUAUAAGAAAUAACAACUGUAAUAUGUCAGCAAUAUUCACUCGCAAAAUGAUCACAGAAACUGAAGUAAUAUAAUCCUAAUACAUACAGUAGUUGUGACACUGUGCCAAGAUCAGAAAGAUAAGCUUUCUUUUUUUAGGUCAGUCUCUGUUGUGGCAGAGGGACAGGAAACUAAGGAAAAAGGGGGCAAUGAACUGACUCCUUUUCUGAUUUUGAGAUUUUGUGGGAUCUGUUUUUAAACAUCUGUGGUGAUUUUUACCCGUAGCUUUUUUACAAUCAUUUACCUUCUCAGAACGAAAAAGAGAACAUGUUGUUUACACCGUUACUUAUAUAAACACAGAUAUAUAGGAUUAUAAUUAAUGGUAUAUAAUCUUUGAGGACAAAAAUACUUGUACAGUGCUUUUGGAGAGAACAUUAUGAAUGAAUUGUAACCUGUGAUUUAUUUAUUUAUUUUUUGAUGAUGAUGAUGAUGAUGAUGAUGAUAAUAAUAAUAAUAAUAAUAAUAAUAAUAAUAAUAAUAAUACAUGGCGGAGCAGAACACUGAAUAGAUUUUGGUGUUGCAGUUUUGUGUACUUUUGUAUAUUGUGUAUUCUAUUGUAUUGCGAGUUCUGUUGUAUUGUGUGCUUUUUUUUUUACUGUAAAUGUGAAUAUAUUCACAUUUACAUGAAUGCGUAUGGUGAGCAUACGCAUUCAUGUCCCUCAGCACAAAGCCAGAUCUGUGGGAAGUGUAGGAUGUUUAUCUUGGGGUGGUUUACUAGACAUUUAUAAAGAUCACAACAAAAUUGUUUACUUUCCUUCAUGUUUUUGGAAUCUCACAGAGGAACGGGAACAUAAAAUGCAGAUUAUAAACCCAGCUGUAACAGAUGUUCCUUUACGGUGUUCAUCAAAAAAAUAUGUUUUCCUCUCUUCUAGACCAGUUACAAUGUGACUUUGUGACAAAGUGACAGCCUUCACUAGUUUGAACGUGUGAUGCUACUUUGGCAGGUCGUAUAUAAUGCGUAGUCCUGAGAUAAAAAUGUUUUUGACCUUCUCAAACCCUGGUAGUCAGUAAUGUAAUUGGGGACAGUAGAGAAAGGCUUAGGAGAGAGUGCUGGCCCAAAUUUAGCCUAUUACCCAAAGACACUUAAAAUUCAACAUAGAAGCAAAUACUCACAUCUGUAAACCCAGUUGGAGAUAGAAAAAAGGACACCAGCCGUGAGUGAGAGGAAGCAAGGGUCCAGAUGUUAUUUCCACCUCACGAGAUCCACACCAAUGAGAAUUGUCAGAAGUGAUCUGACACCUGGAGCUCAAGCUCCAGUAUUUAUACUGUAUUUACACAGUAAAUAACCAAUAUAUUUUAGAAAGACUAUGAUAUCAAUACCAAUAGGGUUAAAAAGAGCUCAUCUACAUUACCAUGAUGUUUAAAAAAAGGCUUAUCAAAUUUACCAUGAUGUUUUGAAAGAGGACUUUCUGACUACCAUUAGGAUUGAACAUGGGAGAGAGAGAAAACAAUUUAGAGAGACCUUGGUCUCACUAUUAUUUCGCGGGGGGGG